CUGCUGCCUUCCGUAGGAGUUUGGACCGUGUCUCAGUUCCAAUGUGGGGGACCUUCCUCUCAGAACCCCUACGCAUCGUCGGCUUGGUGGGCCGUUGCCCCACCAACUACCUAAUGCGCCGCAUGCCCAUCCGUGACCGGGUCGCCCCCUUUGGCCGGCAGGGGAUGUCCCCUCCCGGCAUUAUGUUGUAUUAGGCGGGAUUUCUCCCGGUUAUCCAUCUGUCACGGCCAGGUUGCAUACGUGUUACUCACCCGUGCGCCGGUCGCCGGCGG
rnacentral:rRNA from 1 species